GUGUAUCUGGGCAUGUGCUGUGGUUGCUGUGGUUGCUCAGGUAUUCGCUAAAAAAGAGCGAAUACCUGAGCAAGGUGGAGAGAAUAGAACACUAAUAGUGUAUGUAAGCAUACUUACUCCAUAAAAUCACCAUUAAAUCACAAAGAACUCCGUGUCAUAGGUCUAUUCUUUGCAAGUUUAGUUUGUCAUAGAUAUAGGCUUAGCUAGCUAGAGUGUGAGGAGCUGUCUUGUGCGAAGGAAGAAGGAGCAUCACUCUUGUGAAAGAACAGACCUAGGUUCUCAAGUUUCUGCUAUCAGUGGCUACCUUUGAUUGACUACACAAUUUAAUACAAGCGCUUGAUGAUUGCCAGAUACACUUGCAUUGGUAGAGUCUAUCCUCAGACUCUGGCCAUCGAUCUCUUGUAUACUAUGCUCAGGGGUGUCCACAAGUGGCUGGGCCUGGGAUGUAUUGUCAAGCCUAUAGCCCAAUCCUUGGUAUCUGGAUCAAGAUAUGACAUUACGGCACUGGCACUGGUGUUGUGUUAGCCUCCUUCACCGGCCUUCAAGGAAGUGCGGCCUGGGAUCGUGGCUAGUUUGUGUGGACCAUCACUGAGCAAAAUGGAACCUUCCCCUCCAACCCCCGUCGUACUCCUCCUAGCUUAUGGGUGUGAACUCAUUGAAAGAGGAUGCCCCAGUGCCACUCGUGUCCUUCCCAAGGGUCCGAUCUUAUAGAACUACCUGCACUAAAACUACUGACGUGGAAUGGCUCUUUCAACACUUGUGGUUACUAUCCUGACCAGUGACGUCAGGAUUCUACUGUCUCUUGAUGCACUGUGAACACACAAUCUUUGUUAUGCCACCUGAAGGCUUAGCAGGCAUAUCCAACGCAGUAUUUAUUAAGUCUUUCUGGAAGCUCUUGUUUGAGAUCUUCGCUUCUAAACAUCUGCAUUUAUUAUGGGCGCAGUACUGCUGUGCACAGUAUUAAUUUCUAGUGUCAUUAUAUCAUUAUAUCGCUGUAUUUUUAGCCAACUGUGAUAAACUGAAGAUUUUACAGUACAUAGCUGAUACUUACCAGUUUCCGGUCACGCCCAGAUACAAUCAAUACCAGGCCGAGGAGGCGACCUAGCGUUCAAUUAGAGACGGGGUGUUAAUCAACACACUAAAUUUUAUUGGUGAAUGUCAGUGUGUGUUAAUGAGCACCCCAGUGUUCACUAACACACGAAGUGGGUUAACAGAACACACCAACUAAGUAGUGUGUAACGUAACACACACACUUCACGUAAAGGAACACACUGAUACCCUAGGCCCAACUGUAAUUCAUACACACUAUGCUUUUUACACCACUGUACAGGCAAAACAGCCCAGAGAUUAUGUCACAAUUAUAAAACUUAUAAUCGAUAACAACAAAUAUCUACGCAACAAACUUUUAUGGAUAACCAUUAAACAAAAACAUAUUAAAGGUUUCAAGUUACUAUAGCAGUUAAUCUUGUGAGUAAACCACAGCCAGCUGCACCUGCACAGAGAAUUAUAUGAGUAUGAGUACAGUGGUGUAAUAAUACUACAUUUCAAUGCUGCUAUAACAAAUGGGAGCCAGCUAAGAGAAAAUCAGUUCAUAUAAUAUUAUAUAUAGCUUGGUCCAGUGUAUAAAAUUGACAAUGGGGGCUUGAGAGAAUUUGCAUACUGAAUAGAUCAACUUUUUAACUUAUCUUUAGUAUAUCCUGCUGUUCUCUUGGCUCUCAGAGCAGCUAGCCUGGAAAGACUACUGCUGCAUUCUCUGUCUCAUCUUGUGCCAUGUGGCCACUGGCUCUGGAUCACAUGAUCAAUUUUCCUGCUAUCUAAUUAUAGAACAGAUAGACUAAUUAUAGAAUGCGCAUGCGCAGCAGUGCAGUUGCCGUAGCAAUCUUCAGAGCAGCUGCUUUUCUUUUUGAUCAAGUCCACGUACCAAGUCUAGUCCUGAUCCUUUGAGAAGUCUUUAGACCCCUACUGUUCUAUGCAUUCAGAGCUCAAGGGGAAGAGAAGUUUUCAAGUCAUAAAAAACAAACGGGCAUUAAGUUGAAGGUCAAUUUCCAGCCACUCUAAAGCUGUUGUGAUGCUACUGUUUAGGUUUUUGUCAAGUUAAGUCCCUUCACACCGUGCUGUUCUUUGCUCUAAAGGAGAGCAGAAGUAUCAAGUCAUCAGCACAAAAGAAAAAAGGUCCGUCAUAAAGUUGGACGUCAAUCACUCUGAAGCUGAUUGUAACGCUGCUGUUUAGGUGGAGCGCUGUUAAUGUUGUCAAAUCUUUGCGAGGGAGCAGAAAUCAAACAUGCAGAGGGUACCAAACGAUGUAACUAUUUUGUACACUUUCUUAGAUAGAUUAGUCAUAGGAUGUUUUACUUCGUUCACUGUUAAUCAUUUAAUUUGAAGUAUGCUGUAUCAA